AACGAACGCUGGCGGCAUGCCUAACACAUGCAAGUCGAACGAGAAAGUCCUUCGGGAUGAGUACAGUGGCGCACGGGUGAGUAAUGCAUAGGAACGUACCUUGAGGUGGGGAAUAACUACGGGAAACCGUAGCUAAUACCGCAUAGUCAGGAAACUGUAAGGGUAGCCUCUACUUGUAAGCUAUCGCCUUAAGAGCGGCCUAUGUCCCAUUAGCUAGUUGGCGGGGUAAUGGCCCACCAAGGCGACGAUGGGUAGCUGGUCUGAGAGGACGACCAGCCAGACUGGAACUGAGAAACGGUCCAGACUCCUACGGGAGGCAGCAGUGGGGAAUAUUGCACAAUGGGCGCAAGCAUGAUGCAGCAAUGCCGCGUGAGUGAAGAAGGCCUUCGGGUCGUAAAGCUCUUUCGAUAGAGAAGAAGUGCAAACAUGCUAAUAGUAUGUUUGUGUGACGGUAUCUGAAGAAGAAGCACCGGCUAACUCUGUGCCAGCAGCCGCCGUAA
rnacentral:rRNA from 1 species